UGAGUAACACGUAUCCAACCUGCCGUCUACUCUUGGACAGCCUUCUGAAAGGAAGAUUAAUACAAGAUGGCAUCAUGAGUUCACAUGUUCACAUGAUUAAAGGUAUUCCGGUAGACGAUGGGGAUGCGUUCCAUUAGAUAGUAGGCGGGGUAACGGCCCACCUAGUCUUCGAUGGAUAGGGGUUCUGAGAGGAAGGUCCCCCACAUUGGACUGAGACACGGUCCAA
rnacentral:rRNA from 1 species